AUUGAACGCUGGCGGCAUGCCUUACACAUGCAAGUCGAACGGUAACAGGUCUUCGGAUGCUGACGAGUGGCGAACGGGUGAGUAAUACAUCGGAACGUGCCCGAUCGUGGGGGAUAACGGAGCGAAAGCUUUGCUAAUACCGCAUACGAUCUACGGAUGAAAGCAGGGGACCGCAAGGCCUUGCGCGGACGGAGCGGCCGAUGGCAGAUUAGGUAGUUGGUGGGAUAAAAGCUUACCAAGCCGACGAUCUGUAGCUGGUCUGAGAGGACGACCAGCCACACUGGGACUGAGACACGGCCCAGACUCCUACGGGAGGCAGCAGUGGGGAAUUUUGGACAAUGGGCGCAAGCCUGAUCCAGCCAUGCCGCGUGCAGGAUGAAGGCCUUCGGGUUGUAAACUGCUUUUGUACGGUAACGAAAAGACUCUUUCUAAUAAAGAGGGUCCAUGACGGUACGUAAGAAUAAGCACCGGCUAACUACGUGCCAGCAGCCGAC
rnacentral:rRNA from 1 species